AGUGAACGCUGGCGGCAGGCCUAACACAUGCAAGUCGAACGGCAGCACAGUAAGAGUUUGCUCUUACGGGUGGCGAGUGGCGGACGGGUGAGGAAUACAUCGGAAUCUACUUUUUCGUGGGGGAUAACGUAGGGAAACUUACGCUAAUACCGCAUACGACCUACGGGUGAAAGCAGGGGAUCUUCGGACCUUGCGCGAUUGAAUGAGCCGAUGUCGGAUUAGCUAGUUGGGGGGGUAAAGGCCCACCAAGGCGACGAUCCGUAGCUGGGCUGAGAGGAUGAUCGGCCACACUGGAACUGGGACACGGUCCAGACUCCUACGGGAGGCAGCAGUGGGGAAUAUUGGGCAAUGGGCGCAAGCCUGAUCCAGCCAUACCGCGUGGGUGAAGAAGGCCUUCGGGUUGUAAAGCCCUUUUGUUGGGAAAGAAAAGCAGCAGGUUAAUACGCCGCUGUUCUGACGGUACCCAAAGAAUAAGCACCGGCUAACUACGUG
rnacentral:rRNA from 1 species